rnacentral:lncRNA from 1 species
GUAAAGUGAAUGGGAAUGUCAUCAGACCAAACCAACCAUCUGUAGUUUUAACUGAAGGAAGCAGCACCACUCUGUCCUGUACAUAUGAUGGAUCAGCUUACAGUCUCCACUGGUAUCGGCAGAAGCCUGGAUCAAAACCAGAGUUUCUGCUGCUGAUUGUUAAGUCUUCUAAGUAUGUCAAUAAAGCUGGUCAACCUCAUCCACAUAUGUCCAUCAGACUUCAUGAAGAUAAACAUGUGGAUCUGGAGAUCUCCUUUGCUGCUGUAGUCUCGCGUAGCCUUAUUACUUACAAAAAAUGAUUACAUUCACAUAUUUCUUGAAAUAUUUGUUCAAUUCAUCAUUUUCAAUUUUCUUGUAUAAUUUACUAGGCCAAAAAUGCUUUGGUAAGCUCUUAUUUUUUAAGAUGAGGAGAUAUAGUAGCAAAAGUGAUCUCUCAUGCAUUCUGCCAGAAGAUGGAGCUCUAGUGACUAUUCUAGUUCAGUUGUUUAAAAACAGAGCAGACAUAAAUAGAGUCAGUCAUACUCUAGAAGAGAGCUGUAGGUCUUGACUCUCAAAGUCAUUGUCUCUCAUUAGUGUAGAUGUUGCUCCUGGUGAUCAUUAUAUUUUCUUUCCUAAAAGAGAAUGCUGCUGCUGAUGUCAUAAAACCAGUCUUCACAGAGAAGCAGGUUUUGGCAGGAAAAAAUGUUACACUGAUCUGCAACUACACUGGAAAUGUUCAGAAUUUACAGUGGUACCGUCAGUAUCCUGGAUCCAAACCUGAGCACCUCAUUAUGUUCUUUGAAACCAGCCCUAAACCAAAGCCUGCUCUCCGUCUGACCGCUGCGGCUGAUAAAGCAGCCAAAAGUAUGACUCUGACCAUCUCUUCUACAGAAGUGAAAGACUCUGCCAUGUACUACUGUGCCCUGGUGCCCACAGUGGCAGGAAACACAGCUACACUGUACAAAAACUUGUUUCUUGUAUAUUAUAUAAUCAUGCUUAUAGGAGAGAGGAGCUUCUUCCCAUGCAGAGUCUCUUUUCCCACUUUCCUUGCAUUUGCUGUAGGGCCAUAAUGUUGUCUUUCUGAGUACUUUACUAUUUUAGCAAAUUUUCAUAGUGGUGGGCUAUAUAGGUAGACACGAUUAACUGGUAGAAAUUCGUCAAGUGGUAGAGAUUUUAGAGUAUGGUCUCUUUUACGUUUACACGCUUAUGUGACUUUGCUGUGCUACAUGGUCACGAAAACUUGUUUACACAUGUUUUAAGCAUUGGAUUUUAAAAACAAUAGAUUUUAAGCCAUUGAAAUGCAAUCAGCAGUACCAGAGAACUCCUUUCACUAUAUGCGCGUGCUGUCAGAGAGGCGCAGUGUUGAAUUAUGCUAUUUUUGCUGCUUUAUACACACACUUGUAUGUGUCAAAAUGCCCGUCUUUGCAAGUGUCCUUGUAAACACAGUACUUUAGGUCUUAAGUAAAGGCAAACAGCUGAGAAAGAAAAUGUGUAAUUAAAGACCUUAUUUAAAGCAAAAACAACUACAUUGUUAGUGUAUAUAUUGUUACUGUGAAAUAAAAUUACUUAUAUCAUGCAAGAUUUUGGUCAUAUCGCCCACCCCUUAAUGUUAGAAUACCAUUUAC